GUGGUGGUUGAGGAGAUUCCCUCGCCCCCAUACAAUGAAUAGCGCUUUGAUUUUACAGGCUUGGUUGGUUUCCAAGGAUUUUAGGAGGACGAGCUCGUGGCUCAUUGUUACUGUUACAUUUAUUUUUUCUUUCAGGUGGUAGGUUUGAGCUAUAUGGCGGUAGGUUGGCGGUAUAUGGCGGUAUAUGGCGGCAGGUAGAGUUCGACGUCGAUGAAGGUCUUCUUCGCUUAGCCUCUACGGUUUGUGGCUCCUUGCUUCCUUUAAAUUUAUUAUUUUUUUCUUUCAGGUGGCAGGUGGAGUUAGACGGCAGUAGGGAACCAUGGACAAAGCCAGAUGGCGCAAAAUUCAGGAAUUUUUUUUACAAAAUAUAGUUAUUUCUAUUUGCUCUUGUACAUAAAGUUGAAAGAACAAAGCUAUAUAAAAUAAAGCUCAAGCUGACAGGUUUUCUUUUGGGUUGCACCAUGUUUGCAUUCAUCAGUAUCUUCACAAAUAAACCCAGUCACUACACAUUAAGACGGUGAUUAAACCUCAUUCUUUUGUCUUUACAAAUAGAGAUAUUUACAUGGAUGGGCGGCCAUUCAGAGUGAUCAUUCUGUAAUAUCUUUCUUUUAUCUCUAUAGAUAAAGAGAUAGUUGCAUUGCUGGGCGAAC
ensembl:lncRNA